GUCAACAUUAAGGAUACAAGUGAAUUUAGAGUCAGAGUGAAGCUUACAGUUAGUGUUAGUGGAGUAUUUGUGGCUAGAACGGGGCUUCUUUACAAGUGUGUUAAAGGUUAGGGUAGCAUAUAGCAAUAGGGUUCGAAAGUAAAGAGAUCGUCUUGCUUAUUCACUAAAGUGAGAAUUAUCAGGAAUUUAAAAUUAAUUUCAAAUUGAAGGCCAUAAUAGACAAAGUGAAGAAAAGGUUAAGGGCUGUUCACCAGCUUUGAAACAGUCUUAUUUUUCUACAUCCUGACUGCACAUGGGGUGAUGAAAGAGGUAGUCCAUUUUCAGGUUCAUAUUGGGGUCUGGGGAACCCUAUGUCAUUUUUUAAAUACAACAUGCCUGCCAUGAGUGCUGUUGAGAGAGAUUAUUGUCUCUCUCAUAUUUAAUAUUGUGUCUCAUGACUUCACACAGGUUGAGAGGUCAUUUAUUGAAUUGCUGUUGUUUUUGUCCACUUCAACAUUUGACUACUUUCAGCUGCAAUUUGUCACUUCGGCAUGCUUUUUUUUAGUAGCAUCAGGCUAAGCCUCCACUUAUCCAGGAAAAACCCAUACACUAGGCAAGGAGAGAUACCUUCAGACAUUAUACCUUUUUCACUUCUUAGUAGAUUGGCUCUUUACAGAAUAGGAUAGUGUAUCAGGCUCAGGUUUACAUAAUUUUCUCAUUUUACUUGUUCUUUAUUCCUUGGACUUAGCAACAUUGUGAAAUGAAGUAUUUCUUGUAUUGUUAAGUUAGUUAUCGUCACCUUAAAUUAUGAAUGCAACAAUUUAUUUACUUAAUUAGCUGCAAUUGUGUACAACACCACUAGAUGUCGCUGCUUCCAUGGUUUUAGGCUCUUCUGUGGCUCUUCAUCAGGCAUCUGCUCCCCGUCAUAAUUUUGAACGAACGACUCGCCUGAUUCUCUCUAUUGCAUUCAAAGAUUUCUAGAAGUUGUAGUCCAUCAACAUGUAGUAGAAACUGAGUUUGAGAUUCCUGAUCCUACAGCGGAGCACCCACCAUUGCUAAACAGUCAUACUUUUCCUCUAUCAUUAGUUUAUACUUCCACAAGCCCAGACAUCUCUUUGAUACAUUCAACUCUCUCUUCCUGCGCACACCCCAAACUAACCUUUAAGCUGAUAGCUUUGCAUGCUAUUUUAUUAAGAUAAACCAGUUAAGGACCACUAUUGGCACCCGGACCACUUCAGCUCAAUGAAGUGGUCUGGGUGCCAGGUCCAUCUAGGGUUAGUCCUGCAGCUGUAAAGAGAAACUGCUAUGUUUACGUUAGGGUUAAUCCAGCCUCUAAUGGCUGUCUCACUGAUAGCCGCUAGAGGCGCUUCCGCGAUUCUCACUGUGAUUUUCACAGUGAGAAGACGCUGCCGUCCAUAGGAAGGCAUUGAGAAAUGCUUUCCUAUGGACUGAUUGAAUGCGCGCGUGGCUCUUGCCGCGCAUGCGCAUUCGGCGGGUGACGUCGGAAGAGGGAGGAGAGACCCCAGCGCCGAGGGAGCCCAGCGCUGGUGAAAGGUAAGUGAUUAACCCCUUAACCCCUCUUGAGCCCGGCAGGAGUAGGACCCUGAAGGUGGGGGGGACCCAAAGACCCUAUAAUGCCAGGCAAAUUAGUUUGUUUGCCUGGCACUAUAGUGGUCCUUUAAGAAAAGAACUCCCUCACCACUCCCUCCUUUGCUCCUCUCUCUCUCAACAGCAUUUGGACCGUACCUUUCUUACCCUUCAGGCCUUCUACUCGGCUACUAAACAGCAAGUGGGUGAACUUCUCCUUUCCUCCCACCCUUUCACUUCUCUACUUGAUUUGUCCUAUCUCACCUUAUCAGAUCUCUCUCCCUUUGUCUUGUGCCAUCCUUAAUACAAAUCUUCAACUGCUCUCUUUACUCUAGCAUUGUCCCUGCUACCCUCAACCAUGCUACUGUUGUACCCGUCAUAAAAAAGCCAUCUCUUGUUCCGUCUUCCCCUUCGAUCUACCUUCCCACAUCUCUGCUGCAUUUCUCCUCAAAGCUUUGGAAUGACUUGUGUUUAACCAUCUGGCAUUCCUUCUCAAUUCCAACUCUCUCCUCAAUCUACUUCGAUCUGGCAUCUGCCUCCUCCAGUCUACUGGGAUGGUUCUGAUUAAAGUAACUAAAGAUCUAGUCACAGCUAAAUCCAAAGCCUUUGAAGCUGUUGAUCAUGUCCUACUUCUUAAAAAGCUGCAAUCCCAAGGCCUCUGUGACACUGUCCUCUUGUGGUUCUUGUCCUAUCUCUCUCAAUGCUCAUUCAGUGUCUCCUUUUCUAACGACAACUCCUCCCCUCAUACUAUCUUGGUUUGAAUCCCCCAAGACUCCGUUCUUGGUCCCCUUUGUUUUAUCUUUAUACUGCCUCUUUUGGCACAUGUACUCAUUCCUGUAACUUAUGCUACAAACUACAAGCUGAUGACACCCAGAUAUCUCUCUACUGACCUGAUCUCUUCCCCGCUCUCCUAAAACAUGUUACUGGUUGCCUUUAUACCAUGUAUGAUUGGAUGUCCUCCAGCUUUCUGAAACUUAAUCUCUCUACAACCGAGCUUCACAUUUUAUCUCCUCAUUAUACUAAUGUUCCUCUUUCGCUCUCCCUGCAAGUCUCCCUGCACCAGUCCAUUUUUGCAAGCUUGCUGUCCUGGAGUUAUCUUUGAUUCUGGCCUCACCCUUGUACGUCACAUCAAGUCUGCUGCCAAAUUCUGCCAUUUCCACCUUAAAAACAUUUUCUGCAUCCGCACUUUUCUUACACAAGUAGCUUUUUCAUGCUCUUGUAAUUUCUCACAUUGAUUACUGUAAUUCUGUCCUAUCUCUCUCCUGUCUCCUCAGAAACCAUAAUGCCUCAUUACAAUCCAUAAUGACUGCUGCCAGACUGAUUUUUCUCUCCCGUCGCUCCUCUCACACCUCACCCCUCUUUCAAACCUUACAUUGACUUCCUGUAGUCUAUAGGAGUAAAUUCAAAAUACUAACCCUUACCUAUAAAGCUUUAAAUAACUCUAUCCCAAGCUACAUUUCUUCACUUAUUCAUAGGUAUGCACCAUCCGUCUCGGCGCUCUGCCAGAGACCCUCUC